rnacentral:rRNA from 1 species
GGGCUAUCAUGCAGUCGAACGCGUCCUCGCUGAUGAAGUUGAAGUGCUUGCACGGAUUCAUUCAACAUUUGGACGAGUGGCGAACUGGUGAGUAACACGUGGGUAACCUGCCCUCAAGCAGGGGAUAACACUUGGAAACAGGUGCUAAUACCGUAUAACAAUGAAAACCGCAUGAUUUUCAUUUGAAAGAUGGUUUCGGCUAUCACUUGAGGAUGGACCCGCGGCGUAUUAGCUAGUUGGUGAGGUAACGGCUCACCAAGGCAAUGAUACGUAGCCGACCUGAGAGGGUAAUCGGCCACAUUGGGACUGAGACACGGCCCAAACUCCUACGGGAGGCAGCAGUAGGGAAUCUUCCACAAUGGACGAAAGUCUGAUGGAGCAACGCCGCGUGAGUGAAGAAGGGUUUCGGCUCGUAAAACUCUGUUGUUAAAGAAGAACAGGUGUAAGAGUAACUGUUUACACCGUGACGGUAUUUAACCAGAAAGCCACGGCUAACUACGUGCCAGCAGCCGCGGUAAUACGUUAGGUGGCAAGCGUUGUCCGGAUUUAUUGGGCGUAAAGCGAGCGCAGGCGGUCUUUUAAGUCUGAUGUGAAAGCCUUCGGCUUAACCGGAGAAGUGCAUCGGAAACUGGGAGACUUGAGUGCAGA